rnacentral:pre_miRNA from 1 species
GAGUUUAAUUUUGAUGCACCGACGGUGUGAAGUUUUUUUACACCGUCGGUGCAUCAAACUUUUUCUC